AUGCACGGCUUCCUAUCACAAAAGGCUUGAUUCAUCCAAAUCAUUCAUUGAUGUUUUUCUACAUCUUUAGCAGCGUACAAAACCUGAGAAAACCCUACUCAAUUCAGUUAAUCUAUGCUUCACGAUCGCAAAUACUUAGAACUGCCAUUCUACAGUUUGAUGACAUGGUUGUGGAACCACAGGAUAAACCAGAAAAGUUGGUCCCAAAUCAGACAGUUAGCAAAAUUUGAGAAAAUAAAGAUGGUCCGGAAGGAAUUCUAUGUUUGUGUUUAUCGGACGAUGGGAAUUCAAUAUUUCUUGCAACCAAUUCCAGCUUUGGAUCGUAUACGUUCCGAGUGGACGACUCGUUAUGACCGGAAACAAAAGUUGAAAUUUCUACAACCACUUCAAGUUGGAAAACUUCUAAUGCACCGUCGGCAUUAAUCACUCUGCAUCAAAACUGCGAUUUUACGCAAAUCUCUCUGAAUUUGGCCAACCUGCUAUAGGCGAUGAGGAGUUGUGGCAGCUGAACUAAAGUUAUCUCCGAUAUCGAGGCAAGACAUUCGAUGGGUUUUAACAAGGUUACCUCUAGGAUUUGGUAAUUAUUGUAAAUGGAUUGAAAUGUAAAUUUGAAAAAA
rnacentral:lncRNA from 1 species